AGGCACAGGGUUUAUGAUGAGGCUGGAUAGGGCACAGGGAUGAGGCUGGAUAGGGCACAGGGUUUAUGAUGAGGCUGGAUAGGGCACAGGGAUGAGGCUGGAUAGGGUACAGGGAUGAGGCUGGAUAGGGUACAGGGAUGAGGCUGGAUAGGGCACAGGGUUUAUGAUGAGGCUGGAUAGGGUACAGGGAUGAGGCUGGAUAGGGCACAGGGUUUAUGAUGAGGCUGGAUAGGGUACAGGGAUGAGGCUGGAUAGGGCACAGAGAUGAGGCUAGAUAAGGCACAGGGUUUCUGAUGAGGCUGGAUAGAGUACAGGGAUGAGGCUGGAUAGGGCACAGGGAUGAGGCUGGAUAGAGCACAGGGAUGAGGCUGGAUAGGGCACAGGGAUGAGGCUGGAUAGAGUACAGGGAUGAGGCUGGAUAGGGCACAGAGAUGAGGCUGGAUAGAGUACAGGGAAGAGGCUGGAUAGAGUACAGGGAUGAGGCUGGAUAGAGUACAGGGAUGAGGCUGGAUAGAGUACAGGGAUGAGGCUGGAUAGAGUACAGGGAUGAGGCUGGAUAGGGUACAGGGAUGAGGCUGGAUAGAGAACAGGGAUGAGGCUGGAUAGAGCACAGGGAUGAGGCUGGAUAGAGCACAGGGAUGAGGCUGGAUAGAGCACAGGGAUGAGGCUGGAUAGAGUACAGGGAUGAGGCUGGAUAGAGUACAGGGAUGAGGCUGGAUAGGGCACAGG
ensembl:lncRNA